CUACGGAGGGUGCAAGCGUUAUUCGGAAUCACUGGGCGUAAAGGACGCGUAGGCGGGUUGGCAAGUCAGAUGUGAAAUCCUACAGCUUAACUGUAGAACUGCAUUUGAAACUGCUAACCUAGAGUAUGGGAGGGGGAGAUGGAAUUAGUGGUGUAGGGGUAAGAUCCGUAGAUAUCACUAGGAAUACCGAAAGCGAAGGCGGUCUCCUGGAACAUAACUGACGCUAAGGCGUGAAAGCGUGGGGAGCAAACAGGAUUAGAAACCCUAGUAGUCC
rnacentral:rRNA from 1 species